GUGUGCUGAAGAAGGCACGACCGAAGGAUUUUCCACUUACCUCUCGUAGCUACCAUUUUGGCGUGUCAAACUAAGUACCGUCUUUUAAUUGAAACAGCCAUACGGCACAAGCAUAGCCGGAGAACAUUACAAACCUUUUUAGAAAACCCUGAACAAACGAAGCUGGACGCAGCUAGCGCUGGUAAGCGACCGCUUUCUGGGACCCCCGACGCCGUUGUCGAUAAGGAGGGCGACCGGACGAAGACGCAGUGCCCCGAAGCCGGUAGCGUCUCCCUGCAGCUGCGUUGCGAAGUUAAAGGCUCCCAUGAGGACAGACCCCGCAGAAGAGUUCAUUAAGCAAUACGGUCAAUCACAGCCUUCUUCACAUAAUCAUAACAGUCUGAGAGACUGUGAUUGAAUUAAUGCAGGAGAACAAGGACCUGAAAGCAGAGAACGCUAAAUGGAAGGAGAUGGUUCUUCAAGAAGUGCCAGGACUCCUACUGAACAUGAGGAAUGUAAUUGAUUCGGCUGCAACUCCUAAGAGAUCCAAAUUGAAGCUUACCACACCACCGCUGGCCCUCAAGGUCUCCGCAGUCCAGGUCCAGUUCUCCAUCUGCCACUUCACCACUGUCCCUCCCCAGAUCUACGCCGUCCAUUUCCACGUCUGCGUCUGUCACUCCAUCAAUGACUGUCUCCCACUCUUCUAAG